AACACUCCACCAUCCUCCCCCUUGAUAUACUUCACUUGGUAAAGGUCACAAACCCUCUACUCUCUAGACUUAGCAAGUCUAUACAAAUUUUUAUCCCCAUUUUCUCCUCUAAAGUCGUAUACAAGCUCUCAAAAGUUGCUGUCUUAGCCACCGUAACCUCUAACUUAGCCUCUCUUCUAGCUAUUUUAUACUAGUCCCUAUUCAUCUGCCUCUCC
rnacentral:lncRNA from 1 species